rnacentral:rRNA from 1 species
UACGUAGGUGGCGAGCGUUGUCCGGAAUUACUGGGUGUAAAGGGCGUGUAGGCGGGAAUGUAAGUCAGAUGUGAAAUUCCGAGGCUCAACCUCGGCGCUGCAUCUGAAACUGCGUUUCUUGAGUGUCGGAGAGGAAAGCGGAAUUCCCAGUGUAGCGGUGAAAUGCGUAGAGAUUGGGAGGAACACCAGUGGCGAAGGCGGCUUUCUGGACGAUAACUGACGCUGAGGCGCGAAAGCGUGGGGAGCAAACAGG